GAUGAACGCUGGCGGCGUGCCUAAUACAUGCAAGUCGAACGGACGGACGAUAAUCUUGCGGCGCUGAUGUUAGCGGCGGACGGGUGAAUAACGCGUGUAUAACCUCCCUGUAAUAGUGGUAUAACUUCGGGAAACCGGAGCUAAUACCGGAGGAUAUUUUGCACCGCAGGGUUGAAAGGUAAAAUACGGUCUUUCUGGCACGUAUAGAUGGAUCCGCGCUGCAUUGGCGGGUUGGUAAGUUAACGGCUUACCAAGGCAACGAUGCAUAGCCGACGGGUGAGGGUGAUAGGCCACACGGGAACUGAGACACGGACAAGACUCCUAAGGGAGGCAGCAGUAUGGAAUCUUACGCAACGGGCGAAAGCAUGACGGAGCAGCGCCGCGCGAGUGAUGAAGGUCUUCGGAUCGUAAAAACCUGUUAUUAGGGAAGAACAUAUGUGUCAGUAACUGUGCACAUCUUGACGGUACCUAAUCAGAAAGCAACGGCUAACUACGUG
rnacentral:rRNA from 1 species